rnacentral:rRNA from 1 species
GAUCCUGGCUCAGAUUGAACGCUGGCGGCAGGCCUAACACAUGCAAGUCGAACGGUAACAGGGAUCAGCUUGCUGAUUCGCUGACGAGUGGCGGACGGGUGAGUAAUGUCUGGGAAACUGCCUGAUGGAGGGGGAUAACUACUGGAAACGGUAGCUAAUACCGCAUAACGUCGCAAGACCAAAGAGGGGGGACCUUCGGGCCGUCUUGCCACUCGGAUGUGCCCACGAUGGGAGUUAG